AUGGGUUGUCGUAUGCUCCCCUAUCAACUGGAAUUCUUCGGUACCGAGAACCUGACACGGAUUGAAAUUGUGGGCGAAAGAGGUCAAAGGCCAGCACUCUAUGCGAGGAAUGACAAUCUAUACAUCGUUGCGGUUGAGAACAGGUUUGCACAAAUAUAUGAACUUGCAUCAGAGACGAAAACGAAACCCACAGGGAAGACUGGCAAUGAAACAAAACCUACUGACGACAAUGACAGUUUAGGAGGCCCUAGAAAUCGUUUAUUUAAGAAUUCUAUCCUUCUGAAGUGCCACUGUGAUUAUCGAAGUCUUGUUGACUACAAUCCAGAAGAUCCAACGGAAAGAGAUGAGCAAAACAAGAAGCUAAAAACUGAGCUAUACAUAAAGAGGUUUAUCGAGGUGCUCGACAAGUUGGCACUCACCGAAGAAUGUAUAAAUGUUCUCUGGAACUAUACUGGGGAUCCCGCUCAGUAUAAAGAAUUCAUUCAGACUGUGAUGACAUGUGCAAUUAUGCUUUGUGAAACAGCAAGAUUUAGGAUAGUAUACAACGCUGUGUUCAAGGAUUUCAAGUGUGAGAGCAAACUUUUAAUGUAUGUGAUAUGGAACUGGAAGCACAUGUCAAAUGCUAUAAAGAACUCGAAGACUUCAGGGGAGAUUUCAGACCAUCUGGUUCGAGAGCUUAGAAAUUGUCAAGUUGAGGUGGACAUGGAGACCAUAGCAAGUAUGCUAUACCUUGUUCUUAAUUGCUUUCUCCCUAUCCUGUAUAAUGAUGAUUGGAAGGCUGUCUAG
rnacentral:rRNA from 1 species